GAUGAAGAACGUAGAGAAAUGCGAUAAGUAAUGUGAAUUGCAGAAUUCAGUGAAUCAUCGAAUCUUUGAACGCACAUUGCGCCCGUCAGUAUUCUGGCGGGCAUGCCUGUUCGAGCGUCAUUACGCCCCUCAAGUCCCCUGUGGACUUGGUGUUGGGGAUCGGCGAGGCUGGUUUUCCAGCACAGCCGUCCCUUAAAUUAAUUGGCGGUCUCGCCGUGGCCCUCCUCUGCGCAGUAGUAAAACACUCGCAACAGGAGCCCGGCGCGGUCCACUGCCGUAAAACCCCCCAACUUUUUAUAGUUGACCUCGAAUCAGGUAGGACUACCCGCUGAACUUAAGCAUAUCAAUAAGCGGAGGA
rnacentral:misc_RNA from 1 species